rnacentral:rRNA from 1 species
GAGGGAAAGGUGAAAAGUACCCCGGGAGGGGAGUGAAAUAGUACCUGAAACCGUUGGUUUACAAGCAGUCAGAGAGUCGUCACCUUCGGGUGGCCUCGAUAGCGUGCCUUUUGAAGAAUGAGCCUGCGAGUUACGGUAUGUGGCAAGGUUAACCAGUGAUGGGUAGCCGAAGCGAAAGCGAGUCUGAAUAGGGCGUUGAGUCGCAUGCUGUAGACCCGAAGCCAAGUGAUCUAUCCAUGGCCAGGUUGAAGCGGAGGUAAGACUCCGUGGAGGACCGAACCCACGUCAGUUGAAAAUGGCGGGGAUGAGCUGUGUAUAGGGGUGAAAGGCUAAUCAAACUUGGCGAUAGCUGGUUCUCCUCGAAAUGCAUCUAGGUGCAGCGUCGUGUGUUCAGUGCCGGAGGUAGAGCACUGAUUGGGCUAGGGGGCCUACAAGCUUACCGAACCCAGUCAAACUCCGAAUACCGGUACUCCAGAGCACGGCAGUGAGUCCACGGGGGAUGAGCUUCGUUGGACGAAAGGGAAACAGCCCAGACCAUCAGCUAAGGCCCCUAAUUCUGAACUAAGUGGAAAACGAUGUGGGAUUGCCCAGACAGCCAGGAGGUUGGCUUAGAAGCAGCCACCCUUGAAAGAGUGCGUAAUAGCUCACUGGUCGAGUGAUCCUGCGCGGACAAUGUAACGGGGCUCAAGUUCAGAGCCGAAGCUAUGGGUUCGUACUUUGUACGAGCGGUAGAGGAGCGUUGAUGCUGCAGCGAAGCGGCUGUGUGAACAGUCGUGGAGCGGUAUCAAGUGAGAAUGCAGGCAUGAGUAGCGAGAGAGGGGUGAGAAACCCCUCCGCCGUAAGCCCAAGGGUUCCUGGGGAAGGCUAUUCCCCCCAGGGUUAGUCGGGAGCUAAGGCGAGGCCGAAAGGCGUAGUCGAUGCACAACUGGUGAAUAUUCCAGUACCACCGUGUCCGCGCCAGGUCCAAUGGUGACAACGUCGGGGCUGUUUCCUUCGGGAAGCGAACCAACCGAGUCGCCGGCGGAUAGCUGAAGGGGGACGCAGGAGGGUAGGUGAGCCGGGGCGAUGGUAGUCCCCGGGUAAGCGUGUAGGCGGGCCCUGAUGAGAGUCGGGACCAUAACGCUGAGACGUGAUGCCGAUACCGAAAAGGUUAAGUCACUGAUCCCAUGCUGCCAAGAAAAUCCCAGCAGUGAGUUGGCACGGUGCCCGUACCCCAAACCGACACAGGUGGGCGGGUAGAGAAUACCAAGGCGAUCGGGAGAACAAUGGUUAAGGAACUCGGCAAAUUACCUCCGUAACUUCGGGAGAAGGAGGACCCCUGAUGGUGACGAUCCUUGCGAUCUGAGCUGUUGGGGGUGGCACAGACCAGGGGGUAGCGACUGUUUACCAAAAACACAGCAGCGUGCGAAGCCGUAAGGCGAUGUAUACGCUGUGACGCCUGCCCAAUGCUGGAAGGUCACGGGGAACGGUUAGCUCUUUGAGCGAAGCUGUGAACCUAAGCCCCAGUGAAUGGCGGCCGUAACUAUAACGGUCCUAAGGUAGCGAAAUUCCUUGUCGGGUAAGUU